AGUGAACGCUGGCGGUAGGCCUAACACAUGCAAGUCGAACGGCAGCACAGUAAGAGCUUGCUCUUACGGGUGGCGAGUGGCGGACGGGUGAGGAAUACAUCGGAAUCUACUUUUUCGUGGGGGAUAACGUAGGUAAACUUACGCUAAUACCGCAUACGACCUACGGGUGAAAGCAGGGGAUCUUCGGACCUUGCGCGAUUGAAUGAGCCGAUGUCGGAUUAGAUAGUUGGCGGGGUAAAGGCCCACCAAGGCGACGAUCCGUAGCUGGUCUGAGAGAAGGGUCAGCGGCACUGGAGCUGAGACAGGGUCCAGGCUCCUACGGGAGGGAGCAGAGGGGAAUAUGGGGCAAUGGGGGCGAGCCUGAUCCAGCCAGACCACGUGGGUGAAGAAGGCGUUCGGGUUGUAAAGCCGUUUUGUUGGGAAAGAAAAGCAGCAGGUUAAUACCCCGCUGUUCUGACGGUACCCAAAGAAUAAGCACCGGCUAACUUCGUG
rnacentral:rRNA from 1 species